AUUGAACGCUGGCGGCAUGCCUUACACAUGCAAGUCGAACGGUAACAGGUCUUCGGAUGCUGACGAGUGGCGAACGGGUGAGUAAUACAUCGGAACGUGCCUAGUAGUGGGGGAUAACUACUCGAAAGAGUGGCUAAUACCGCAUGAGAUCUACGGAUGAAAGCAGGGGAUCGCAAGACCUUGUGCUACUAGAGCGGCCGAUGGCAGAUUAGGUAGUUGGUGGGAUAAAAGCUUACCAAGCCGACGAUCUGUAGCUGGUCUGAGAGGACGAUCAUCCACACUGGGACUGAGACACGGCCCAGACUCCUACGGGAGGCAGCAGUGGGGAAUGUUGGACAAUGGGCGCAAGCCUGAUCCAGCAAUGCCGCGUGCAGGAUGAAGGCCUUCGGGUUGUAAACUGCUUUUGUACGGAACGAAAAGCCCUGGGUUAAUACCCUGGGGUCAUGACGGUACCGUAAGAAUAAGCACCGGCUAACUACGUGCCAGCCGCCGCGGUAAAAC
rnacentral:rRNA from 1 species